GUUGAAGACACUGAGGAGGAGGCGUCAGAGUCUUCAUCUGAUCAUGUGCUUUCUCCAGUGUCUGGUUCAGGCUCUGUCACCAGCUCUCUUACUGAAGGGAGUUCCUCUGUUGUGGACGACGAGCCUCCACUCAGCAUCCAACCAGUGCUGUCGCUGCCGUGGAUCGGUGAGGUGGUCCCCAUAGAGGACAUGAAGCCACCAGCUCCCACGAAAGGUUUUCCAGUUUGGAAAGACCUAGGGGACACGGUGGACCUUCAUGUCGCUCAUGAGGAGACCACACCACCAUCCUCCACUCAGGCAGCCGACACACAUCAGGGCGAUGCUCUCAGCUCUGUGAUGUCUGAAUUGACACCAGCUGAUCGAGCCGCCGCUCCCCCAUCUCCUGCGUUAUCAACAGCAGAGGAAGCCUGU